GGACGAACGCUGGCGGCGCGCCUAACACAUGCAAGUCGAACGGGGCUAUAGGACGGAAGUUUUUCGAUGGAAGACUUAUAGCCUAGUGGCGGACGGGUGAGUAACACGUGAGCAACCUGCCUUACAGAGGGGAAUAACGUUUGGAAACGAACGCUAAUACCGCAUAACGCAGCGAAGGGGCAUCCUUUUGCUGCCAAAGAUUUAUCGCUGUAAGAUGGGCUCGCGGCCGAUUAGAUAGUUGGCGGGGUAACGGCCCACCAAGUCGACGAUCGGUAGCCGGACUGAGAGGUUGAACGGCCACAUUGGGACUGAGACACGGCCCAGACUCCUACGGGAGGCAGCAGUGGGGGAUAUUGCACAAUGGGGGGAACCCUGAUGCAGCGACGCCGCGUGAGGGAAGACGGUUUUCGGAUUGUAAACCUCUGUCUUCAGGGAAGAAGGAAGUGACGGUACCUGAAGAGGAAGCCACGGCUAACUAC
rnacentral:rRNA from 1 species